UCAAAAAAUGUUAUAUUUAUUUGUCACCAAAAUAUAACUGCACAGCCAUUGAAAUAAAUCAUGGAAUGUCUCUACAAGGAAUAAAUCAAAGAUCCUCGAAACAGGAAUUAGCAAGCCUUGUCAGGUGACAUAAAACAGCUUGUGCCAGAUGAGUGCUGGUUGCUCAGACAACUGAUGAAGUAAUUGUUGUUUGGGAGUAAUCUAUUGCACAUGUGUUUCUCAUUGCGGAGGUAUUUAUUCUUGGAGUGAAAGGUGACUAGGGCUGUAUGGUGGCUUGUAGAUUGAGUCGAUACUUGUCAGCUUGACUAGGAAAAGCCCUCCCAGCUUGGACCAAUCACAGCCAUCGACUGACUUCUCACAGGAAGGGAGAGUUUAUCUUCAGUUGCUGAGCUGACGAGUGUGGCCAGCUGGGUUUUCAGUAGGAAUGCGGCUACUAAGCUACAUGCAGUGUUUACUCAUGUUCUGUUGAAUGAACCUAGCGUUUGACCACUCGGAUUCAUCUCGCUUUUAGCGUGACAUCGAAACGCAGGACAUCAAUUCUCAUAGUUAUCUCAUGAUUAACCCUUUAAGGAAUAUAACUUUUGGAUAUUUAUGCUCAACUUGAAAACUCUUGGAUUGUUACUUGGUCAGCCACAGUUUCUGGAACAUCCUGUUUUAAUUUCCUCCUAUUUUGCCAGACUCAAUAAGGAUCGGGAAAAUACAAAUAUCUUAUUGAUGACUGGAAAUUAAUGUAAAUUUAUAAGCACCGAGUCAACUUGUGUUAAAUGUACUUCAACAGAUCCAGACGUUGCUACGAUUUUAGAAUUCAUCUUGAUAAACAUAUGGUUGCCUGUGAGUGCUUUUUCUGAGAAAAUAUAUGUCGGCCAGAGGUUCUCUAGGCAUUUGUUGCAUUGAUUGGUCAACUGUGUAAACUGUUGGAAUACAUCUCUGUGACCAGGUGUUAAUACCAGUUGAUUAUGCUUGCAGUUGACCGCCUGUAGUGGGCUAACCUAAAAUUUGCUGCGGCUAUCGUAAUAAGUACAUAUUUUGCUUGUUCUGGCUGUUGGAUAUUGACAGCUUGCGUAACACACCUAGUGUGAAGUAGAUCAUCUAGAAGUAGCAUCAUUUCUUUUGGAUUGUGUGACAUUCUACGGGCCAGGAUGCGCAAGAAUACCAGUAGCCCGAGUCUCAGCAGAGUUGAAGUCAAAAAAGAGCACGAUGUGGAAACGCAGGUCAUCCCGGUGGCUAGCUCAGGAGCUGGGCCUGUUAUGCCCGCUCCAGUUAAGUCUGAACAAAAGGCGAUCUCGUUAUCUAAGUUGAUGCAUGCACGAGCACAGAAGAACAAUGAUUAUUUUUGUCAUGGAACAGGCGUGUUCAGUUUUGAAUUUCAUCGACAACCUAACACAAGUAAGUGAUGUUCAUAUUUUUUUUCUGACAAUUUUGAGGUGAACAUAUGACCGAGUUUAUUAUGCUAAUUCUUAUUUUUCAAGCUUUCAAAAAUAAUCAAAGUUAAGUUGCAGGAAAUUAUGAAUACUUUACAAGGUUUCUAGAAUUUAAAAUCAAAUAUGUAGUAGUGACGUAGUGUAUAGUAGACAGCGUCUUGAUUCUUUUUGGUCAUUUUAUUCACUUAUUUUCCAGUGAAGCCUAAAAAGAAACUGCUAAUGUACUGACACAUUAAAGAACCCUCUUAAACCUAACCUACUGCCUGGUACAUUUUAUGAGGUCUUUAUGCUCCUCUUCUGUAUUGUGUCUUCAUGUUAAAGGAACAUUUCCAAUCUUCUAACAUACACUUUUUUUAGACAGUGUUUAUUCAGCCGGCAGAUUCAUUUACAAAGCAUUUUCUUGAUGAUUAGUGAAUGCGCACUCCAACCCUAACUUUAAAGAUAAGACAAAUUCAAGUUUUAGACGGCAGAAUAAACAAUUUGUUUUUUUAUAAGGUAAAGUUUUGUCCAGUCUCAGUAUUCUUUUUUUUUUUUUUUUGCCGAUUUCAGGCUCAGAUUUUCUUAUUUUACACACUUUUUAAAGAUAGAAAAUUAUUAGUGAAGAGCAAUAUAUUACUCUGCAGAGCCAGAGAGGUAAUACAUAAAGACACCUACUGCACAUAAGAGAUAAUAUUGGUUGGUUUUCUAUUAAAAAACAAAUAAAAACCUCAUUUGAAA